UUGACUCUGCGGCGUCCGUGAUGAGUUGGCACACGGGGCGAGCCAACACUUCACAAACGGGAGCUAGACCAAGCGACGUGGAUGUGGUAGCCCACAAGGCAAGACGGAAGCGUCCAGUCUGCACCCACCUGCUUACGCAGGUUCGUACCCACUGACCACACGGCGCUGUGGAGUCUGC
rnacentral:other from 1 species